UGUAAGUCAGCAGGAGACACGAGAAAGUCUACUUUAUAAUACUUCUACUAAAUACUAUGAGAAUUUACUAAACUAUAAAAGCAUGAAGCUGCCAGACAGCUAAUGUAACAGCCAUAACAAUUUUAAUUGCAAGGAUCUCGUCGGCCCAACAGUGCGAUGGUCUAACUGCCAGCCAAACCAUACUCCACACCAUUUAAUUAUUUUUUUGUUUUCGUUUCGUACUACAAUGGCCUACUUCAUUUUGAUGUUGGCUAUAUUUGUAAUUAAUUUUCUGACCAAUUUGUACAUAAUAAGCUACUAAUGUUACUGUAUUAUAAGUAAGUUGUUAUAAGAUGUAAAAAUGAGCUUAAGACUCAAUAAAUGCUUAAUAAACUUUCAAUUAUAUGCGAAGAGACUGACCAUUGGCAUUAUUUAGAUAAAUACCA